UUUAUACUUUGAUGAAAUACCUAAACAAGACAAGUAGGUUUUAUACUUUGAUGAAAUACCUAAACAAGACAAGUAGGUUUUAUACUUUGAUGAAAUACCUAAACAAGACAAGUAGGUUUUAUACUUUGAUGAAAUACCUAAACAAGACAAGUAGGUUUUAUACUUUGAUGAAAUACCUAAACAAGACAAGUGUGUAGAUCUUACUAUUGAAGAAGAGAUGAAAAUUGAAGAAAGAAAACCUGCCAGGGUGACUGUUUAUGAUUACUAUAACACAGAAGAGAGAUAUGAAACAACAUACACCAUCUGAAUAUGAAGCAUCAAAC